GGGACGAACGCUGGCGGCGUGCUUAACACAUGCAAGUCGAGCGGAAAGGCCCUUCGGGGUACUCGAGCGGCGAACGGGUGAGUAACACGUGAGUAAUCUGCCCUUAGCUCUGGGAUAGCUCCGGGAAACCGGGAUUAAAUACCAGAUACGACCACUUUAGACAUCUGCCGUGGUGGAAAGAAUUUCGGCUAAGGAUGAGCUCGCGGCCUAUCAGCUUGUUGGUGGGUAACGGCCUACCAAGGCGACGACGGGUA
rnacentral:rRNA from 1 species